GGCCAGUGAAACCAGGGCAAACUCAUGGAUCAUCUGCGCUCCCAUCUUCACCUUGGUGGCAGCCCUACCUCUGAGAUUUUAAGGUCCACGGAAAGUGCAGGCUUCCAGGAGUGCUGUGGAGCAGAGCAGAGAGAGGAAGAAUGUGACGCUCUAAGCCAGGUUGAUCAAUUUCUGUGCUGUAACACAUGGCAUCUCCAAACAAAAGAACUUUUCCUCAGAGAACACCUUUGGAAUCUGCACCAGAAUUUUAACUCUGACUCCUUUGUUUCAGUUCUAAAUGAGAAUGUGCACACGCCUGUGUGACACAGGUCUGUAUCCCAUCUCGGCCCCUUUGCCUCUUCUUUUCUGUAUUGUCUCUGAAAAAAAAAUCUCACCCAUUUUUAGGGUUUCAGCUCCUUCCUCCUAAGGCACUUUGCAAAUAUGUUUUGCUAAUUUUUAUUUCUCUCCCAUAAUUCAGGAUUGCAACCUUUUUAAAAAUGAAUUUUUCAUUUAAUUUUCUUUCUUUAACUGAAUAACUAAUACAUGAGAUCACACUCACAAA